GGAAGGUUGGGCACAGGCACGCCGCGCAGUCCCGAAAACUGUCGGAGCUAAAGACGCUCCUGUGGGUUCGACUCCCACACCUUCCGCCA
rnacentral:tRNA from 1 species